rnacentral:rRNA from 1 species
ACGGGAGGCAGCAGUGGGGGAUAUUAGACAAUGGGGGAAACCCUGAUCUAGCAACGCCGCGUGAAGGAUGAAGGUCUUCGGAUUGUAAACUUCUUUGACGAGGGAAGAUAAUGACGGUACCUCGAAAACAAGCCACGGCUAACUACGUGCCAGCAGCCGCGGUAAUACGUAGGUGGCGAGCGUUGUCCGGAUUUACUGGGUGUAAAGGGCGUGUAGGCGGGAUUGUAAGUCAGAUGUGAAAUGCAGAGGCUUAACCUCUGAGCUGCAUUUGAAACUGCAAUUCUUGAGUGAUGGAGAGGUAAGCGGAAUUCCCAGUGUAGCGGUAAAAUGCGUAGAUAUUGGGAGGAACACCAGUGGCGAAGGCGGCUUACUGGACAUUAACUGACGCUGAGGCGCGAAAGUGUGGGGAGCAAACAGGAUUAGAUACCCUGGUA